GAUGAACGCUGACAGAAUGCUUAACACAUGCAAGUCGAUGGGGAAGUGGUGCUUGCACCAUGGUAACCAUGGCGGACGGGUGAGUAACGCGUAAGGAACUUACCUGCGGGACCGGGAUAACAGCAGGAAACUGCUGACAAGACCGGAUAAGGUCAUUAAGCUGCAUAGCUUAGUGAUGAAAGGAGACGCCUGCGGAGAGCCUUGCGUCCUAUUAGCUAGUUGGAGGGGUAACGGCCCACCAAGGCGAAGAUAGGUAGCCGGCCUGAGAGGGUGGACGGCCACAAGGGGACUGAGAUACGGCCCUUACUCCUACGGGAGGCAGCAGUGGGGAAUAUUGGACAAUGGGGCAACCCUGAUCCAGCAAUUCUGUGUGCACGAAGACGGUUUUCGGAUUGUAAAGUGCUUUCAGCAGGGAAGAAGGAAGUGACGGUACCUGCAGAAGAAGCGACGGCUAAAUACGUG
rnacentral:rRNA from 1 species